CCCAGACUCCUACGGGAGGCAGCAGUGGGGGAUAUUGCACAAUGGGGGAAACCCUGAUGCAGCGACGCCGCGUGUGGGAAGACGGUCCUCUGGAUUGUAAACCACUGUCCCCAGGGACGAAGAUGACGGUACCUGACUAAGAAGCCCCGGCUAACUACGUGCCAGCAGCCGCGGUAAUACGUAGGGGGCAAGCGUUAUCCGGAUUUACUGGGUGUAAAGGGAGCGUAGACGGCAUGGCAAGUCAGAUGUGAAAGCCCGGGGCUCAACCCCGGGACUGCAUUUGAAACUGUCAGGCUGGAGUGCAGGAGAGGUAAGUGGAAUUCCUAGUGUAGCGGUGAAAUGCGUAGAUAUACGGAGGAACACCAGUGGCGAAGGCGGAUUGCUGGACAGUAACUGACGCUGAGGCGCGAAAGCGUGGGGAGCAAACAGGAUUAGAUACCCGAGUACA
rnacentral:rRNA from 1 species